GCUGCCUGGUCUGCGGUAUUUUGUUAUGGCAGCCUGAGCAGACCAAUACAGUGCUCUGAGGAAAGGUUAUUUAACUCCGGCACCCGAGGAUCAGCUGCACAGCCUCGCGUCUUCUUGGAACAUCCCAGGGCGCUCAGCCCUUAGCAUCCGGUUGAGAUGGGAUGCCACUCUAGCAAGAGCACCAAGGUUGUGGGGGAGUCUCAGGAAUCUGGAGAACAGCCUGCGGGAGAAGAGCCAAACCUGGAGGCUGGCACUGAGGCAGCAGAUGGCAAAGACGCCUCGUUGCAGGAUGGCGCCCCUGAGCGGAAGAGCUGAGAUGCUGUCCUCUGGAGCCAGACCCUCGCCUCGGUCCUGGAACUGCCUUUGGCCAGUGAAACCUGAGACAAGCCCCAGUCUGAGAAGCUCUGAAUAGAGGGAGGAGAGAGACAUCCCCACCUUUGGGAAUCAGGCUUCAGAAGUUACCUUCAUCAGCCUUUGCUCAUUGGAGUUUCCAGGAAGAUGAGGCCGUGAGGAAUCCUGGUUCCCCAGCUCUCCGGUAGAGAGGACAAGAGAAGUCUUCCCACAUCAUGGGCCUUUUCCACAGCUUCUGGAAAUGGAAGAGCCCCAUGACAGACUGUUCUGGUUCUCGUGACUAUCUGCAGCUGAGUUGUGACUGUCCAGGGACCCCCACCUGCCUCACCGUGAACUCUGAAAGCUCUGUGGUCAUGGCGUCCAUUGGGGUGUGUGGCUCUCAGUUCUUUCUCCUUCUCUCUCUCCCUUUUGUCAAUAGCUGGCUGAAUAGCCAACAUCCCUAACAGGAAGGUUUUGCAUUUGGCUCACUCCACACUGUUCGUAUGAAUAAUUUAAUAUUUAACUUGGAGAAUUGUUAAUGAGUUAUGGGAACAAUCAGGAUCAGACUGUGAUCACGUAAACGGAAGGCCACAAGGCCUUGAUCAUCCAGUAAGUGGAGCGUUGAGAGCUGGUGGGAAGGAAGGAGGAGGGAUUUGUGUUCCUGGGUUUUUAAUCCCAGAGCAAUGUCCCUCUGCUGAUAUUCAUGUGUCUCCUCAUAUCCAAAGUCUGUCAAUUUGCACCCUCUGGCAUCUGAGCUCUCUGUAUCCAGCCUUCGAAAAUAUUUCGCUGUUUACUAACAUGUCUGUCAGCCUUUCUUUUUUCCCCCUA